AGAGAGAGAGAGAGAGAGAGAGAGAGAGAGAGAGAGCAUGAAUUUGCCAGACUUAUGACAGAGAGAGAGAUAUGCACAUUUCCACUGAAAGUGAGGGGUGUUUUACAAUGUAAUACCAAUGUGCUAUAUUAUUACUAUUAUGUUUAUUUUGUAAAUCUAUAUACUUUUUAUAUGUUUAUAUUUUAUAUGAGUCCUAGCAGGACGAAUUUACUUUUUUUUGUUACUGUAUAAUUUUUUUAUAGCCUUUUACCAUGUUUACAUUCCUAGUCAUUUUUCCGUUAUUUAAAACCAGGUGUUUCCAUUGUUAUUUUUUUUCUUUGUUAAAAAGUCAUUUUAUUGAAAUAAAUAAUGACAU
rnacentral:sRNA from 1 species